rnacentral:rRNA from 1 species
UACGGGGGGGGCAAGCGUUGUUCGGAAUUACUGGGCGUAAAGGGUUCGUAGGUGGCUUGCUAAGUCAGACGUGAAAUCCCUCAGCUUAACUGGGGAACUGCGUCUGAUACUGGCGAGCUUGAGUGCAGGAGAGGAACGCGGAAUUCCAGGUGUAGCGGUGAAGUGCGUAGAUAUCUGGAGGAACACCGGUGGCGAAGGCGGCGUUCUGGACUGCAACUGACACUGAUGAACGAAAGCCAGGGGAGCAAACGGG